GAUAUACUAUGCUAGCAUACGAAAAUAGGUCUGUACAUUUUUGAGCACCCAAAGUGGUAAGAGACAUUCUUGAAAACAGCUUAAAAAUUUCUGUAGAUACCACCACAAAUAAUCCACACAAUACUUCAACAAGCAUUUAUUAAACGCCUACUAUGUGCUCAGCACUAUACUAGGCACUCGGGGGUGCAGAGAUACAAAUGUAAAAGUUAUUAUUCCUGCCCUCAAGGAGCUUACAAUUUAAUUUUGGAAAUAAAUACAAAUAUGAAACUGUAACACAGAGUGCUAGAAAAUAAUUACAAAGCAACAUAUUAGUAAGUACAUGGACCACAGUACAAACUCAAAAGAUAAGUGCUGAGGCAGCACAGAAUGAGGGAGGUCAUCGCAUGAGGUGAUGUCAAUCAGGGAGAGCUCAGUCAGAAGAUAUAAAGGAAGAAAGGCUUUGAAGGGAGUGAUGAACAUGAGCUGGGACCAAAGAGCAAUCUAAGCAAAAAGAAUAGCAUGAGAAAGGCACAGAGGCAAGAGCUUGUAAGACAUCAGUAGAAGGCUGUAGGAAGUUUGAAUCUGUUGAAUCAAGGUGAAUAUGCUAGAGAGUAAUGAAGGCUGAUGAAUAUUAGGCAUAGAGGUAAUGGAGAAUUUGGAACACCACUGCUCCAUAGGAAUUAUCUACUGGGUGUUACUUAGUGAAAAUGAAAUUUUACAAUAGAGAUAUUGUAAAAAUGGGUGUUUGAGGAGGAUCGUCUUUGAAAAAUUAUCUACUGGGUGUUACUGAAAAUGAAAAUUUUACAAUACGGAUAUUGUAAAAAUGGAGUUUGAGGAGGAGCACCUUAGAAACUUUAUACAAGAUGGGGAUCCUGGGAGCAAGGAAAUUGGAAAAAAAAGAAUUACAGUAACCUGGGCCUCAGAUCUACAUGAAAAGCUAUAAUGGGAUGAGAGAAAUGGGAGAUCAAGCCUCAAGGAGAAAACUGAUUAAAAACUGGACUGACAGCAAGUUUUUGGACAUGGAGAAUGGAGAGCAGAAAAAGAUAACUCCAAGGCUGGGGUAAAAAUAUAAAGGUGGUGACACUUUUCAGGGCAAAGGAAUUACGCAAUGAGGCCUGUUUAAAAAGAAAACGGGGGCUGGGGAUAUAUGGUGAUGAAUCCUGUUUUCAAAUAUCAAGUUGUACAGGUACCUGUGGAAAAUUCCAAAAGUCACAAACUGACCCACAGGGUGGGAAAAAUGAAGUCAUUCGAAUACAAAUAGUAGGUAUAAACAAUCAAAAUGGAUAAAUAGGAGUAUAGAAAAUGAAGUGAAUAAAAGACAGGGAGAUUAUUCUCAGUGGAGAAGAGGAGAAAGGGGAGUGGGUGGAAAGAUCAACUAAAAAAAGAAAGACAGAUAUUAGAGAAAAAGGAUCCCACAAGCCAAAGGAGGGAGAAUUCAACAAUAUAAAAUAUAAAUUAGAUCAAAAAAGACAAGAAAUAAUAAUAAAAAAAGGCCUUAUUAUUUGUCCACUGGUGAGUCUAAGAACAUUUCACUGGAAUGCUAAGUAUGAAAGCCAGUAAAAAGAAGUUUUAAGAACAGAUUAAUGAAAAAGGGGGGUUGAAAAAUCAAAGAUAUGUUUGAAAAACCAUGAACAAUAGAGGAGAAACAGAAUGGUAGUUGGAAAUGGGCAAUGAGGAUGAAAGCAUUUCACAUUUUAUGCUGUAGAUGAACUUACUAUUGUCAUCCUAACUGACCAUCUGCCUGGCCUGGUACAUGGAUAUUUCAUUUCCCUCCACAAUUCUACUUUCCCUUUGGCAGUUUGGAGAAAAAUAUAUUUGAAUUUAUUAUUGCUUUAUCCUCCCAAUUACUCUGUUAAAUAUGUUUUGUUUGCACAAUUUAGCUUUGUAGUAAUUGAAUCACGGGGGCAGAACUUUCCUGUGCUGUUCUUGUGAUAGUGAAUAAGUCUCACAAGAUCGGACGGUUUUAUAAAGAGUUCCCCUGCACAAGUUCUCUCUUUGCCUGCUGCCAUCCAUGUAUAAGACAUGAUUUGCUCCUCCUUGCCUUCCACCAUGAUUGUGAGGCGUCCCCAGCCAUGUGGAACUGAGUCCAUUAAACCUCUUUCCUUUAUAAAUUACCCAGUGUCAGGUAUGUCUUUAAUAGCAGCAUGAGAACAGACUAAUACAUUUAUCAUGAGCCUGAGAAAGGCAUAACAGGGUUGGGCACAUAGUAAGUGCUCAAUAAACGUCGGCUAUUAUUAUUUGGAGACUCAGAACCAAGAGUAAAGUUAACUGCUCUGUUUGGGAAUCAACCACCAUAUUCUAGCACUGCACCUUGCUCCAUGGAGAAAAUCUCUGAAACCUAACAUGCCUCUCCCAGGGCUAUGUUGGAUGGCAUUAGAGUUAUGAAAGAACCACCUUAUCAUGUCAGUUCCUAAAAUGAGAAGCUUAGGAUGGGAGGAGAAAGUACUGAUGAAUAGUUCAUUUCAGAUGAACAUAAAGAUAGAAUCUAUAGGAUAAAGGAGCUUAAUGAAUGCCAUUCACAGUUAAGAGCUCAAAAUGUCAUACAGCCUAGUCAAUAAUAUUCUAUGCUAAGAGUGUGAACUUGAGACAAAGAAUGAUUUCUAGUGAUGUCCUCAAAGAAUCCACAGCCUUUUUCUAUUGUCUUAUACCAUUUGGCUAAUUCUGUAUAUGUGCUGUAUCAGCUUUGAUAAUUCUUUCAAGACACAGUCUUUUCUCACACCCAAUAUAACACUAAUUUUUCUAGUCAUAUUAUUUUCUCCAAAUUUAUGCCACAUGCUUAGUAAUUCUGAGAUUUAAGUAAUCUGGCUACAUAUUACUCUUAAUACUGACACAUAAAGAGACUUUAGCUAGUACAUCUGUAUACAUUUCAAUGUGUUGCUCUGGUCUAUGGCCAUACCACCCUGAAUGCACCCAAUUUUGUUAAUAUGUUGCAUUGCUAAAAGGACUUU
rnacentral:lncRNA from 1 species